UAAGAGUAAUGACAAAAUCAAAAUCAAAAUCAAAGAGAUAUUAAAGAAAUCGAGAAAGGGAGUUAUUUUUGUUUUGCUUCAUCAUCGUCGCUGUGAUCAUCGACGGGACAUCAGCCAUGUCUGACCAGAGCGAUUCAUCGUGCCUGAAAUUAAUGGUGGAUCUGGCCACCGGAGAUGAUGAUGAUAACUCAAAGGUGUUGAUGCACCCUCUAACCAUGAAAACCCUCAAAGUUUGUGAUGGCGAUAUUAUACUGAUCAAGGGGAAGAAAUUGAGGGACACGAUUUGCAGAGCCCAUGUUGAUGAGUCAUGCAAGGAGUCCAAGAUCAGGAUGAACAGAGUUGUGAGGUGCAAUUUGAGGGUUUAUCUUGGAGAUUCUGUGACCGUGCACCCGUGCACCUAUUCAUGACUCCGUUUAUGAUGACUCCUUUUAUGCUGUCUCUGGCAAUCUCGUUAAAGGCUUCUUGAAACCAUACUUCUCAGAGGUUCAGGUUCAGGCAUAUCGACCCGUCACAAAAGGAGAUGUAUUUCUUGUCCCAGCCAUGAGAAGUGUAGAGUUCAAGGUCAUUCAAAUUGAAACCGAGAUUGAUAUUGAUAAUCACUAUUGUGUUGUUGCUCCUGACACUGGAAUUUUCUGUGAGGGGGAGCCUGUGAAGGAGGAAGUAUGGAUCCAACAACCUGGGUACGAUUGUUUCGGGGGAAAUUGAUAGGGAAAUUGGUAUUGGUGCUCUUGAUGAAGCUGGACGACUUGAACUCCUUCGCAUAUAUACCAACCACUUGAAGCUUUCUUCUGAUGUUGAUUUAAAGGGAAUUGCAGAACUUACCAAUGGUUAUUCUGGUGCUGACCUUGUUCAUAUUUGCGCUGAUGCUAUUUUGAAGUGCUUUAGGGAGAAGGAGGAGGAGGCGGAGGUUUUCAGCGAUUCAAAAGGGGAGUUUGUUGAUGCUGAAGUGUGGAAUUCUCUUACCGUUGCAAAUGAGCAUUUCCAUAUUAGAAAGAAAAAAGAUCUUUGGUAGUUUUCUCUUUUUUGUUGGCCUAGGCAAUGUAGCUAAAGAAUGCCAAACUAGCUUUAUCAGCAUGAAAAAGGCCUAGAAUUGCUUGUAGUUUGGUGAAAGUGAAGCCAGUUUUUGAGUAAGACCAGACAAUCUGCUCCAUAUAUCAUAUUAUGCUUUUACCCAUUAUUGAUAUUAAACCCAGUUCUACUUGUGCAUGUAUCUUUUGAAUUAAGGUUGGUAUAUUAGGGACAUGAAUUAACCAGA